AGCUUUGUAAUCUGUUGAGUAGCUGGUCCACUCUGACCUCUGUGUGUGAGUCCAUGGCAAGAAGUGGGAAUUGAUGUUGGAAUGGCUAAUACUGGCUCCUGAGAGGUGUUUUCCUAGGUACUCAUGAGCUGCUGUUGAGAAACUAAGGAAAGCUGGUUUGGAGAAUAAGUAAGCUGAUGUUGGUGGUGUUACUAAUGGAAUUAUACGUUACCCAAAGAAAUGUAAAUUGACACCUCAAGAUAGUCCUAAUUGCAAAAGUGUCCUGCAUUAAAACACACACAAGAAAAAAAACCAAAUAGAACAACAUAAGGAGAGUUGCACUUCAGAUUAUUUCUUGGAGCAGAAGGUGGUCUUGUUUCACCUGGAAUUUCUGCAAACAACUGCUAGAAAUUAAAUUCAACGUUUAUUUUUAUCUCA